rnacentral:rRNA from 1 species
CAAUAGCGUAUAUUAAUGUUGUUGCAGUUAAAAAGCUCGUAGUUGGAUUUCUGAUAGGAGCCCUGGUCACUCUAACGAGUGUACUGAUGUGGCGUCCUGUCGUUUCAUGGGGAUGCUUGCUGGUAUUAAGUUAUCGGCUUGUGGAUCCAUGUCGUUUACUGUGAAAAAAUUAGAGUGUUCAAAGCAGGCCAUCGCUGUGAAUACAUUAGCAUGGAAUAAUAAGAUAGGACUGUGGUGCUAUUUUGUUGGUUUGCGUACUACGGUAAUGAUUAAUAGGGAUAGUUGGGGGUAUUCAUAUUCAAUUGUCAGAGGUGAAAUUCUUGGAUUUAUGGAAGAUGAACUACUGCGAAAGCAUUUACCAAGGAUGUUUUCAUUAA